UGGAACGCAAUUGAUUCUCCCGUAGCUUGCUACAUUUGAAUUGAUUGAGUCGCGAACGGGUGAGUAACGCGUAGGUAACCUACCUUAUAGCGGGGGAUAACUAUUGGAAACGAUAGCUAAUACCGCAUAAGAGUUGACAACACAUGUUGUUAAUUUAAAAGGAGCAAUUGCUUCACUAUGAGAUGGACCUGCGUUGUAUUAGCUAGUUGGUAAGGUAACGGCUUACCAAGGCCUCGAUACAUAGCCGACCUGAGAGGGUGAUCGGCCACACUGGGACUGAGACACGGCCCAGACUCCUACGGGAGGCAGCAGUAGGGAAUCUUCGGCAAUGGGGGGAACCCUGACCGAGCAACGCCGCGUGAGUGAAGAAGGUUUUCGGAUCGUAAAGCUCUGUUAUAAGCGAAGAACGGGAGUAAGAGUGGAAAAUUUACUCUGUGACGGUAGCUUAUCAGAAAGGGACGGCUAACUACGUGCCAGCAGCCGCGGUAAUACGUAGGUCCCGAGCGUUGUCCGGAUUUAUUGGGCGUAAAGCGAGCGCAGGUGGUUUAAUAAGUCUGAAGUUAAAGGCAUUGGCUCAACCAAUGUACGCUUUGGAAACUGUUAAACUUGAGUGCAGAAGGGGAGAGUGGAAUUCCAUGUGUAGCGGUGAAAUGCGUAGAUAUAUGGAGGAACACCGGUGGCGAAAGCGGCUCUCUGGUCUGUAACUGACACUGAGGCUCGAAAGCGUGGGUAGCGAACA
rnacentral:rRNA from 1 species